GGGGAAUAUUGGACAAUGGGCGCAAGCCUGAUCCAGCCAUGCCGCGUGAGUGAUGAAGGCCCUAGGGUUGUAAAGCUCUUUUGUCCGGGACGAUAACGACGGUACCGGAAGAAUAAGCCCCGGCUAACUUCGUGCCAGCAGCCGCGGUAAUACGAAGGGGGCUAGCGUUGCUCGGAAUCACUGGGCGUAAAGGGCGCGUAGGCGGACGUUUAAGUCAGGGGUGAAAUCCCGGGGCUCAACCUCGGAAUUGCCUUUGAUACUGGAUGUCUCGAGACCGGAAGAGGUAAGUGGAACUGCGAGUGUAGAGGUGAAAUUCGUAGAUAUUCGCAAGAACACCAGUGGCGAAGGCGGCUUACUGGUCCGGUUCUGACGCUGAGGCGCGAAAGCGUGGGGAGCAAAC
rnacentral:rRNA from 1 species